GGAGAAAUGAAACUUGAAAGUUGCUCUUUUUUUCACUUUUGUUCAACUGAUUUUUACAAUUUUUUGGUCUUUUACAGUUUUGUUGUUUACAUGAAGUUAAGCUAAAGAAAGGAUAUCAGACUAUGAACAAGGCUAGAUACAAGAGUGACACCUACCUUGCUCUAUACAAAGGUUACAUGAAACUAAAACUUGAAGACUUUCUAAACUGCUGCAAACUAACAUCUGACUUCCUGAAAGUAAACCAAGAGACUGGGAAUUCAACGAGGCUGCUGGAUGCUGCGGAAACUGUUCCUCGGGCUCACGAUCUUGGAUGGCUUCUCAAAGUAUUUGGGUGGACCAAUGGGGGAUCUUGGUGAACUCAAUGUUCUAAUCAGUGCAUCAGAUGGUAAACCUGUUUUAUCAAGUUAUAAGCAAAUCAUCAUACAAGAGUAACCAUAGUAAACACCAAAAAUAAUCACAACUAAGACCAGGCAUGUAGGAAUUUUCCCAUCUUGUUUCAACAGGCUCACACAAAUUCCGACACCAGCAGGGAUCCCCAGACUCGUUGAGUUUAUAGUAUAAAGAUCUAAUUGACUAAAGGUUCCUCACUUUUUUCGGUUUCAAGACAGGUUCUGCACUAAAACUUCAGUAAACCAUGCAAACCGAACAUUAUCUUUCUGCUGACUGUAGGUUAAUUACAAGAUAUAGACAGAUUGUGCAUACCAUAUUGUGGCAUCGCAUUGACACCAUAGAGAGAUGACUUAAUUCCUUGUUGCUCAUUUUCGGAAGAUUGAAGAAAUUCCUCAAACUGAGCUUCCAUGUUCAAGAUGUCCUCAUCAACAUUGAGAUCAAUAUUUUCAGGAAGCAAAUCAGCAACAUCAUUACCAGCACCAUAUUCCUCUCCCUGGUUCUGGCUCAUCCAGUAGUCAUGGAACCAUGUUGAAGUUGUCACCAAGUUCCACCAUUCUGGUGAAAAAUCCUCUACCUGGCGCACAAAUGAAGGAACAAAGAGGGGCGCAUUUGGAUUCAGCGUUGAUCUUCCUCCAGAAACUAAUGCCAUAUUGCUUUUUCGAAAUUAAUACCUAAAGUUUUUCGAUAAAACAAAAAACACGUUAGUGCAUGACAUACCGAAUAUGACCAUAUUUAGUACGUCGAGUUUCAACUUCAAUAUUAAAAUCACCCACAGAACUAAAGUAGAAGUUUUUCCUGGCCUAAUAAACCAAUUCAUGAACAAAUAUUAUCAAAGUAUGGUAACUGAACACUACAGAAAAGGAAAAUUAACAUUCUCAAUCAACAUGCGACUUAGAAAACCCGAAUUAUCUCGUCUUAGGUGGAUAUAGCUCUAACCAAACUUCAGCAGUAUCCUUUCUAAACUCUGAGCAAUGAUUCUAUCUAGCACCUAUUACUACACAGUCAAAACCAUCGCGCCACAGACAUGAGGUAAAUACUUCACAUCUAUGUUGCUCGGACUCUCCAAAAAUGAUGGCACACCGUGUCGGAUCCUUCAAAAAACCCAAACACUACUUUUGGACAAUCAGACACGCAACCAUCACCAUUUUUAAAAGAGUCCAAGCAACAUAACCACAAUUACUGGCCUUCUUCUACUGCAAUUUCAACUCGCUACUCCAAACCCUAACUCAUAACAGUCAUACAAAUCAAAAAACUCAUCUUUCCACGGCCAAACAUGCUCCACCCAUCCUCUCUCAGAUAAUCCAAUAACAAUUAACCUCACUUUCUCG
rnacentral:misc_RNA from 1 species